AAUAUAUAGACCAAGCAAUACUCAACUAUAUUCACACAAUCAUCUUCUGCAUUUUGAAUAAUGACACUUUUGCUGGGAUAUCUUCUACUUGGGCUGGCAGCCUGUGCUCACUGUCAGAUAUCACUGGUCCAGUCUGGAAAUGGAAAUGUAAAACCAAAUGAAGUCCUCACACUCACUUGCAAAGUUAAUGGAUACACUAUCACAACUGGUUACUGGUGGAACUGGAACAGACAAACAACUGGGAAAGGACUAGAGUGGUUAGGACUCAUAAAAAGUGAUGGAGCCGUAUUGUACAACUCAGCAUUCCAGAGUCGAAUAUCUGUAACAAGGGACACGACUAAUAAUGAAUAUUCUGUGCAGCUGUCAAAUAUGAGAUCAGAUGACUCUGGCACAUAUUACUGUGCUAGAGACACAGUGACUGAAACCACAGGAAAUCUGUGA